UAAUACGUAGGUGGCAAGCGUUAUCCGGAAUUAUUGGGCGUAAAGCGCGCGCAGGUGGUUUCUUAAGUCUGAUGUGAAAGCCCACGGCUCAACCGUGGAGGGUCAUUGGAAACUGGGAGACUUGAGUGCAGAAGAGGAAAGUGGAAUUCCAUGUGUAGCGGUGAAAUGCGUAGAGAUAUGGAGGAACACCAGUGGCGAAGGCGACUUUCUGGUCUGUAACUGACACUGAGGCGCGAAAGCGUGGGGAGCAAACAGGAUUA
rnacentral:rRNA from 1 species